rnacentral:lncRNA from 1 species
GCACAUGAGUACAGGUACCUACAAAGGCCAAAGGGAGCAUAUGGCACCUUGAGAUGGAGUUACUGUGUUAAAGUAUCUUUUACUCACCUGAUGUAAUUGUCAUCUCCAAGACUUCUUGCCUCUGUCUGCUAACCUAGGCCUAGUCCUUCGAGUGGCUAGCCUCAGUAACUCUAACCUAGACUUAGAAUGUUUUCAGCCUUUGAGACUUAUUGCUGAGUAAGCUGACUCUUUCAAGCUCUUUCUGAACUCUGGCUGGCUGGUCGAGUCAGCUGUUGUGGCUCAAACUCCUCUCUCAGCUGACUGAUUCUAUCUGACUUCUCUUGGCUUCUCCUGAAUUGUUCUUCUGUGAAACGAUGAGAAAAGGAACUACUGAAACUCCUGACGUCAACAAUGUUGUAGUGUAUAUCUCACCUAUGGAUCGCUCUGAUUUUUGAAAGGCUGCCAAAGACGUUCAGUGGGAGAACGGACAUAUUUCCAACUAAUGGUUCUGGGAAGACAGGUUGAUGUACCUGAGUCCUUCCAUUACUUACAUCAUGGAUAAAAAUUAACUCAAAGUACAUCAAAAA